GGCCCUAAAGCUCAGUGGUAGAGCGCUAGUCUUGAAAAAAAGAGGUCUUUCAGUUCGAUUCUUGUUGGGGGCU
rnacentral:tRNA from 1 species